rnacentral:tRNA from 1 species
GCAUUGGUAGGCUAGUGGUAGAGCUCAAGGCUGCGACGCGGGAGGGCGGGGUUCGUACCCCAGGCAGUGCC